rnacentral:lncRNA from 10 species
GGCUUCCCGGCCGGGUGAGCGGCUCGGGGGGAGGCGGGGCGAGGAGGCCUGGGCCCGCAGGGAGGGCGUGUCCGCCACCCAGGAGGGGCGGUUCUCGGGGUGGCGGAUGGGGCAGCGGGGAGGAUGCGGCGGUCCGACUCGGGUUCUGUUGGGACAGCUCCUCUGCGCCCCGUAGGUCCCUCGGUCAGCGCCUUCCCUUGGGCGCGGCGACCCGGCGCGGGUUUCCAGGGGACAGCUGCCCGGCGCCCCUGAGGUCCCUCGACAGGCACGGCGACCCGGGCACCUGCUGCCGCGACCCUGAUCCUCCGCCGUCGUCGGGCAGGUUGCGGUCCCCGCGGUUCCCUGCAUCUGUUAAGAGGGCGGGGGCCGGGAAGGCGGUGUCCGGGGACGGUGCCCUUGUCCUCGAGGCGGCCCUGGACGCGUCGCCUGCGGGGCCUGAACCGAGGACCCCCCCGUACCCCGCUUUGUCCUGGUGAGGCGCUCCUGCCGCGCAGCGGCAUCUUCCUCUGUUAACGUCGAGAAUGAGUAGUGAAGGCUGCUCAUUAUCCUGCAUUGUAAAGUAAAACUUGUCUUUUUAGAAGCGUCUCCUGAAAAUUGGCGCAUCUCCUGUGCUUCUCUGGGUUGUAUUGGGAAACUGGGCCAGUCGCUGUCAGGACUGUCCUGUUGGUAGGUCUCGAGGGAAAGAAAUGGGAGAGAAACCUACCCCGUAAAUAUUUUCCUACUCAGGUGCUUUUCGAACUACCUAUUAGGUGAUUGCCUUUUUUUUUUUUUUUUUUUUUCCUGGAACAAAUUACAAACUGCAGGUAGAAAUCAGGAAGGCCUCUUUAGGCUCCUCGCCAGGCAGCCUUUUUAGCAUUUUUCUGAAUGUGAACAGGUCCAAACGACAGAGCAGAAUUUGAAAAGAAAGGUUUUGCUGCAGAUUCAUAACGAGGACUUUAUUUUUCAUUGGUAUUUUAAUGGUAAUGGUAUAGCAAUGUUUUAUUUUUAAUGUUUUUUUUAAAUGGCUACUAAAAUUUUAUUUUGAAAUCACAGCUGUUUCAGUCACCCCCAAGAAACCUUUAAAACGUCUUAUUAGAAACAUUUUUAUAUAUAGGAACAUUUAGCCAUUUAUACACAUUUCUAAGAUAGAAAUCACAAUGAAGAUACGUUGUUUCACUAUUCCAAGUUCCAAGUAACCAUGGUGAAUAUGGUUUCCCCAUUCCAAGUAACCAUUGUGAAUGUGGUUAUACACCUCCAGCCUGGGUGACAGAGCAAGACUCUGUCUCUAAAUAAAUAAGUAAAUUCAGUUUGGACCAAUGAAGAAGGUAAUAUGUAAAUAUGGAAUAUUGGGAAAAAUUGACCACGUUAUUUGGAGUUAAUGUUAAGGAAUCAAAGGAAACAUUGAACUAAUUGGACUUAGACUCAUCUCUGCUAUGACUAUCAUUCUACUUUAGAUCCCUAAUGCCAGGCAAAUAGUCCCUCCUUAUUAAGAAUAAAUGUACUGGCUGGGCAUGGUGGUUCAUACUUAUAAUCCCAGCACUUUGGGAGGCUGAACUGGGAGGAUCACCUGAGGCCAGGAGUUUGAGACUAGCCCUGGCAACAUAGCAAGACCCUGUCUCUACAAAAAAAUUUUUAAAAAAUUAGCUGGGUAUGGGGUAUGCACCUAUAGUCCCAGCUACUCAAAG